UCAACCAAGGCACGUGAGCUCCCUGAUGGGGUGAGUGAAAGAGGAGACCGUGAUCCACAACCCUAAACACAGCACAUUGAGACAAAUCGCUUUUGCAAGAGAGACCUGGACACACUUUGAAACGCACCUUGGGCAACCUUUUCCUCAUGCAAAGACACGCUGUGAACAAACAACGUUGGCCCUCAGGAUUUCCCCGCCACAACAUCCCUGAAGAGACAGUAACUGACAGCCAAAAGCAAAAUAAAGGUUCCUUCUUCCCACUACGUCUGUACAUCAGAUCAUUUCAGGUUCCUUCUUCCCUCUACGUCUGUACAUCAGAUCAUUUCAGGUUCCUUCUUCCCACUACGUCUGUACAUCAGAUCAUUUCAGGUUCCUUCUUCCCACUACGUCUGUACAUCAGAUCAUUUCAGGUUAUGUGAUUGUCGUCUCCACGUCUUCUAAUCUUUGGACUCCAGAACAGUUGAGGUCCCGUUAACAGUUUUCUAAGGACCACAGAAGCAUCUAGGAGGAUAACAACGGGAGAUUUAUCAUCAUUCUGAGUAUAUUUAGAAAAUGUGCCAGCCUUCACUAUUCUUCACUGUGUUCUUGGGGACCUUCAAUGCAGCCAAACAGUUCUGUGCCUCGACACAAUCCUGUCUCGG